UUAUGCUUCCUUUUUUCUCUCCUACCAAAUUUAAAUUAUAUUUAUUUUUAGUAUCCCUACGUUCGUGGGUAUAGGAGGACAGCUCCCGAUCGAGAUUUAGUCUUAGAACGGCAUGUAACUUUCUUCCAAAUUUUUAUUUAGUUUUUCAUUUUAUUUUAAUCAUGUUAGUUUUUUAAAUUCUGCUCUAACAUAAGAUUUUUUUAGCUUUCCUUGGGUCUUUGUAAACUUUAUUUUAGUCUUUUCAUUUUAAUUAUGUUAGUGUUUUAUUAUUAUUAUUAUUAGUAUUAUUAUUAUUAUCAAAAACUCAACUCUAAAAUCUAUACCGCUGACACUAAUGAAAAGAAAAAAAAAAAAAGGAGUUUUGAUGAGUUGGAGGUGCAGUCGUCAAAACCACCUCUUUCUGCAUUUCUGAAGUUGCAAAAUUAAGAAACGUAGGUUUCUGUUUUUAUCAAGAAAAAUUGAAUAAUACGACUCACAAUAUAAUGUGUCCAAUGAUGGGAUCGGAUGAACCGAGAAACACGUGGCAAGGUCAGUAAUUAAGUUGUUCAUUAGGCUUUCUUAUUUCUUUUUAUAUUCAACGGAUGCAUGGUGGGUAUAUCGUUUCACUUCUACCUACGUGUUCCUUUGGGUUGGUGGAGUCGAUUGUAUUACAUGUGUUAGUCUACUAGUAUACUUUAUUCGUAUCACAAGUAAAUAUAUCGGUUCAAAUUUAGGAUCCCUUCAUAUUUUUUAUUUAUAUACUAGUAUAUCUAAAUAAUAAUAAUGAUAAUAAUAAUAAAGAUAAAUAAAAUAAUCAUCGACCAAAGUUAAUAGAAGAUACAUCCACAUGUAAAUAGAAUGAAUUUUUUUAUUUUGGCUUAGCACAUGUAAUGUAAUCCCACUCCACUAGAGUUAAGGAACACGUAGGUAGGAGUUGAAACGAUACACCGACAAUGCAUCCGUCGAAAGGGCUCAUCUUGAUGCUUUAAGAGUCACACGUAUCCGAGAUCUACAGAGCCAUGAUGAUGCACAUCGUCCGACUUGGUAAUGGGCCUCAGUUUCGAUGACUCGGCCCAUUAACUCCUACCAAUUUAUAUUGCAUGUCAAGGCCUUAAUUCGCUUCAACGUUGUACAUCAUAUGAAGAGGAUCCUUGGUCUUAUCUGGACGGUCCAGAUUUGUAUUCUUUCCAGGUCGGAUCGUAUCCUCAAUCUUGAAGCGACGUAGCUUGCGCCGCCACUUACCGCGCUCCGCCUUCGGUUCUCUCGGCCCUUUCUAAAGCCCUAACGCUCGCCGCCUCAGUCGCAGUGCUUGCACGCCAUCUCUCUCCCGUUGCUCCGAAUGGCGUGGCGCGGAUCGAUCUCGAGAUCGAUGCUUGCCGCUGCGCGGUCCUCGUCCCCCCGAUCGCCGCCUCCGGUAACCCGCCUCCGCCCUGCGCUUGUUUCCGGUCCCCGCGUCCAGCGCCACCGCCUCUCCUUCGGCCCUCCCAGAUCUCUUGGAGCAUUAGGAUGCGCGCAGUCCUUCCUUCCGCUUUACAGCGUGGUGGCCGCUCCGUGCCUCACCUCUCACCUGUCGGUCAGCGCGAGAGCGUGCUGUGAGCUCUCUCAGGGUACCUUCUGUCGCAUUUGUCAAGAUCGCUAGGAAAAAUGGAAAAGAUGGUUGAUGAAGAGACAGGGCGUCGUUCAGUGGGAAGCACUGUUUAAGCUGAUGUACUUGAAGAAAUAAGGAUCAAUUGCAUGGAUGGUAAAUGGAUGACUCUUGGUACGUGUAGAACAAGAACCUGCUUAAGGAUUGACUGGAAGAUGAGGAGAUACUGCAAGUGCUUUUUGAUUGUUUCACCAGUUUUGAGUUUUAUUUUCCAGGAGUUCAAGAAUAAGUGUCACUUGUGCUUCUGGUAGACAAUCCUCUGGGAUUAUUAUGUCAUGUUCAUUCCACUCGGGUUUUCAGUGGCUGCUUUCAUCA